GUCGCGGCUGCAGCAAGAUGGUGGAGGUUAGUUUGCGGGUGUCGUUUCUGUAUCCAUCGGCAUCCUCCAUCGUGGAGCCUCGGGCUGAUUCACCGACGGCUGGAUGUGACUGCCGCGGCUCCUGCGAGUGAGCCUUCGCCAAGAUGUUGUUGAAAGAGGUUGGAAUCGGAACACGAGUGUAAAUGUGAGCACUUGCCUGCUGCAGUCACAGGUUGGAGUCUUGAGUGAGAUGUGGAAGUGAUCUUGCUUGCAGUGUUCAGUGUUGCAGGUUGGAAUUUAAAUGUGAGAUGGGAGAGAUGUCUUGCAGUUUUGCAGGCUUUCCAGUUGUGGACCAAUGGUGAUAUCUGGAACAACCCCCAAAUUAAACCUUUGGAUGAAACUUCUAUUAUGGCAUUAUUCAAUGUGUUGAAUUAUUUGUUGAUUAAAAUCACUGACCGAA